AGGGUGUAAACGCUGCAGACUUGGUGUUGGGAACCCUUCGGGGGUGCUCAGUGCCGGAGAGAAGUUGUUAAGUCUGCUACUUGGGAGUACGUCCGCAAGGAUGAAACUUAAAGGAAUUGGGCGGGGGAGCACCGCAACGGGAGGAGCGUGCGGUUUAAUUGGAUUCAACACCGUAAAACUCACCAGGGAAGACUGUUACAUGAAAGCCGAGAUGAAGACUCUGCUAGAUUUUCAGAGAGGAGGUGCAUGGCGUCAGUGACUGU
rnacentral:rRNA from 1 species